rnacentral:rRNA from 1 species
GACGAACGCUGGCGGCGUGGAUUAGGCAUGCAAGUCGAACGGUAGGAUACCUUCGGGUAUCUGAGAGUGGCGAACGGGUGAGUAACACGUAGGUGAUCUACCCUCAAGAUUGGGACAACCCAGGGAAACUUGGGCUAAUACCGGAUGAAAGCAGCAGUGAUGUUGUUUGAAAGGUGGCGUAAGCUGCCGUUUGGGGAUGAGCCUGCGCUCUAUUAGUUAGUUGGCGGGGUAAAGGCCCACAAGGCGAUGAUAGAUAGGCGGCCUUAACGGGUGGUCGCCCACACUGGGAUUGAGAUACGGCCCAGACUCCUACGGGAGGCAGCAGUCGAGAAUAGUCUACAAUGGUCGGAAGACUGAUAGUGCGACGCCGCGUGAACGAUGAAUCCCUUCGGGGUUAAAGUUCUUUUAUAUGUGAGCAGUGCUUCUUAUAUUAACAGUAUGGGGAAGAGAUAUUAGCAUAUGAAUAAGCAACGGCUAACUCCGUGCCAGCAGCCCG